ACCUUCUCAUCAAUGACUAGCUCGAUGCUGCAGUUGUGUGUCUAGUUCUUUGACCUGAGGUGCAUCGACAGUUCACCUUGAGUGUGUUAUAGUUUGACUACAACAUAACUCGAUCUUCUAGCCAUUCAAAACCCUGAGGUAUAUGUUGGCUGUAGCAUAUUCAUUGUAGGAACCAGAUUGCACCAAGAUAGGAUCUAUCAAUCUCGGUAGAUAAG
rnacentral:lncRNA from 1 species